UCGAGUUCUUGUCCUUGACAAUAGAAUACUAAAAAUGCUCUAAUUAGACUAUAAUAAUGAUAAAUAAACAUAAUUCAAUUCAAAACAACUCAAAGAAAUUUCAAACAAAUAAUAAAAUUCUUAAAGAAAUAUUAGCAUGAUCACAAAUUUUACUCAAAUAUAUGUCGAUUCAACCUUAAUUUAAUUCUAGUUAAAACCCUAUUGAAUUUCACUCAACUUUAGACCAAACCUAAUUAAAUUUUAAACCCUAAUAAUUUCUAAACCCUAAGUCAAAUCCUAAACAAAUCUUAAAUUAAACCCUAUUUCAAACCCUAAAUCCUAAACCAAAUCCUAAAUCAAACCCUAAACCAAACCCUAAAUCAAACCCUAAACCAAACCCUAAAUCAAACCCUAAACCAAACCCUAAAUCAAAUCCUAAACCAAAUCCUAAUCCAACCCUAAACCCUAAACCAAACCUUAAAUCAAAUCGUAACCAAACACUAAUCCAAACCCUAAAUCAAACCCUAACCAAACCCUAAACCCUAAUCCAAACCCUAAUUCAACCCUAAACUCUAAUCCAAAUCCUAAAACCUAAACCAAAUCUUAAAUCCAACUCUAAUCCAAACCCUAAAUCAAACUCUAAUCCAAACCCUAAAUCAAAUCCUAACCAAACCUUAAUCCAAACCUUAAUCCAACCCUAAACUCUAAUCCAAAUCCUAAACUCUAAACCA
rnacentral:lncRNA from 1 species